ACUGAUGUAUUCAACGAGUCUAUAGCCUUGGCCGAAGCGGGCCCGUAAUCUUUGAAAAUUUCAUCGUGAUGGGGAUAGAUCAUUGCAAUUGUUGGUCUUCAACGAGGAAUUCCCUAGUAAGCACGAGUCAUCGGCUCGCGUUGACUACGCCCCCGCCCUUUGUACACACCACCCGUCGCUCCUACCGAUAGAAUGGUCCGGUGAAGUGUUCGGAUCGAGGCGACGGGGGCGGUUCGCCGCCCGCGACGUCGCGAGAAGUCCACUGAACCUUAUCAUUUAGAGGAAGGAGAAGUCGUAACAAGGUUUCCGUAGGUGAACCUGCGGAAGGAUCAUUGUCGAGACCCACUGACGAGGACGAUCGUGAAUGUGUCAACGAUUGCUCGCUAGGCUCGUCCCGAGAACACCCUGAAUGUCGGUCCGCCCUCGGGCGGGACGACCGAGGGGAUGAACUACCAACCCCAGCGCGGAUAAUGCCAAGGAACACGAACAUCGAAGUCGGAGGGCCUCGCUGCAUGCAAUAGGCUACAAUUCCAACGGUGACCCCAUUGGACGACUCUCGGCAACGGAUAUCUCGGCUCUCGCAUCGAUGAAGAACGUAGCGAAAUGCGAUACCUGGUGUGAAUUGCAGAAUCCUAUGAACCAUCGAGUCUUUGAAUGCAAGUUGCGCGAGGCCAUCCGGCUAAAGGCACACGCCACCUGGGCGUCACGCUUUCGGCUUCGUCGUUGCUCCCUCCUCAGGGGCGAAACAGCGAGGAUGGCCCCCGUCUUGGGAAGGUGCGGUUGGCCAAGAGCGGGCCGUCGAUGGUUGUCGAACACGAUGCGUGGUGGAUGCCUUGUGCGAGCCGUACGUCGUGCCUUCGGGACCCGGGCGAGGCCUCGAGGUCCCAAGUCGUGGUGCGAGUCGAUGCCACGGAUCGCGACCCCUGGUCAGGUGGGGCUACCCGCUGAGUUUAACAUAUAAAUAAGCGGAGGAGAAGAAACUUACAAGGAUUCCCUUUGUAACGGCGAGCAAACCGGGAUUAGCCCAGCUUGAGAAUUGGGCGGCUGCGUCGUCUGAAUUGUAGUCUGGAGAAGCGUCCUCAGCGAUGGACUGGGCCCAAGUCCCCUGGAAAGGGGCGCCGGGGAGGGUGAGAGCCCCGUCCGAAUCAACUAGCCCCGAAAAUGGAUGGCGCUGAAGGGCGCGACCCACACCCAGCCAUCGGCGCGAGCGCCAAGCCCUGAUGAGUAGGAGGGCACGGCGGUCGCCGCCAAAAAACCAGUAGGAAAGCCCCGCGAUGGGGUCGUCGGUCGGAUCUUGGUGGUAGUAGCAAAUAUUCAAAUGGGAACUUUGAAGGCCAAAGAGGGGAAAGGUUCCAUGUGAAUGGCACUUGCACAUGGGUUAGCCGAUCCUAAGGGAUGGGGGAAGCCCGUCCGAGAGCGUGUCUCCGCGCGAGCUCCGAAAGGGAAUCGGGUUAAAAUUCCCGAGCCGGGACGCGGCGGCCGACGGCAACGUUAGGAAGUCCGGAGACGCCGGCGGGGGCUCCGGAAAGAGUUAUCUUUUUCUGCUUAAUGGCCCGCCACCUGGAAAUGGCUCAACCCGGAGGUAGGGUCCAGCCGGUCGGAAGAAGCGCCGCCGCGUCCUGGGCGUCCGGUGAGCCCCGGACAACCUUUGAAAAUCCGGAGGACCGAAAGUGCCGCCCGUGCCGGUCAGUAUUCAUAACCGCAUCGGUCUCCAAGGUGAACAGCCUACGGCCCAUGGAACAAUGUAGGCAAGGGAAGUCGGCAAAAACAGAUCUAUAACCGGAAAAGGAUUGGCUCGAGGGCUGGGCACGGGGUCCCCGAACCGUCAUUUGUCGGCGGAUCUUUGGAGCUGCUCUCGCGCGACGCGAGCGGGUCGCCGCGAUGCCGGGCGGUGGGCGGACGGAAUGGCCCCCUCGGGGCCUUCCCCGGCGUCGAACAGCCGACUCGAACUGAAUACGGACAAGGGAAUCCGACUGUUCAAUUAAAACAAAGCAUUGCGAUGGUCCCCGCGGAUGCUCAUGCAAUGUGAUUUCUGCCCGAUGCUCAAUGUCAAAGUGAAGAAAUUCAACCAAGCGCCGGUAAACGGCAGGAGUAACUAUGACUCUCUUAAGGUAGUCAAAUGCCUCGUCAUCUAAUUAGUGACGCCGCGCAUGAAUGGAUUAACGAGAUUCCCCCCGUCCCCCGCAUCUACUAUCCAAAUAAACCACGACCAAGGGAACGGGCUUGGCAGAAUCAGUGGGGAAAGAAGACCUGUUGAGCUUGACUCUAGUCCGACUUUGUGAAAUGACUUGAGAGGUGUAGGAUAAGUGGGAGCGGUUAAGCGGCGGAAGUGAAAUACCACUACUUUUAACGUUAUUUUACUUAUUUCGUGAGUUGGAGGCGGGGCCCGACCCCUCCUUUUGGACCCAAGGCCCGCCUAGCGGGCCGAUCCGGGCGGAAGACAUUGUCAGGUGGGGAGUUUGGCUAGGGCGGCACAUCUGUUAAAAGAUAACGCAGGUGUCCUAAGAUGAGCUCAACGAGAAUAGAAAUCUCGUGUGGAACAAAAGGGUAAAAGCUCGUUUGAUUCUGAUUUCCGAUGCGAAUCUGAACCGUGAAAGCGUGGCCUAUCGAUCCUUUAGACCUUCGAAUUUGAAGCUAGAGGUGUCGAAAAAAAGUUACCACAGGGAUAACUGGCUUGUGGCAGCCAAGCGUUCAUAGCGACGUUGCUUUUUUAUCCUUCGAUGUCGGCUCUUCCUCUCAUUGUGAAGCAGAAUUCACCAAGUGUUGGAUUGUUCACCAACCAAUAGGGAACGUGAGCUGGGUUUAGACCGUCGUGAGACAAGUUAGUUUUACCCUACUGAUGAUCGUGUCACGAUAGUAAUUCAACCUAGUACGAGAGGAACCGUUGAUUAACACAAUUGGUCAACGCGCUUGGUUGAAAAGCCAGUGGCGCGCAGCUACCGUGUGUCGGAUUAUGACUGAACGCCUCUAAGUCAGAAUCCUAGCUAGCAACUGGCACUCUCGCCCGUCGUUCGCCUCCCGACCCACAGUAGGGGCCUUUGGCCCCCAUGGGCUCGUGUCGCCGGUGUAGCCCUCGUGGUGGUAUAGCCACGGGCGGCCAUCGGGAAGUGAAAUUCCGCACGGACGACGGGCCGAAUCCUUUGCA
rnacentral:rRNA from 1 species